rnacentral:rRNA from 1 species
AGUGAACGCUGGCGGUAGGCCUGACACAUGCAAGUCGAACGGCAGCACAGUAAGAGCUUGCUCUUACGGGUGGCGAGUGGCGGACGGGUGAGGAAUACAUCGGAAUCUACUUUUUCGUGGGGGAUAACGUAGGGAAACUUACGCUAAUACCGCAUACGACCUACGGGUGAAAGCAGGGGAUCUUCGGACCUUGCGCGAUUGAAUGAGCCGAUGUCGGAUUAGCUAGUUGGCGGGGUAAAGGCCCACCAAGGCGACGGUCCGUAGCUGGUCUGAGAGGAUGAUCAGCCACACUGGAACUGAGACACGGUCCAGACUCCUACGGGAGGCAGCAGUGGGGAAUAUUGGACAAUGGGCGCAAGCCUGAUCCAGCCAUACCGCGUGGGUGAAGAAGGCCUUCGGGUUGUAAAGCCCUUUUGUUGGGAAAGAAAAGCAGCAGGUUAAUACCCCGCUGUUCUGACGGUACCCAAAGAAUAAGCACCGGCUAACUUCGUG